rnacentral:rRNA from 1 species
AGCCUGAACGCUGGCGGCGUGGCUAAGACAUGCAAGUCGUACGGUGUAGCAAUACACAGUGGCGAACGGGAGAGUAAUGAAUCGCUAAUGUGCCCCGGACUCUGAGAUAGCCAUCCGAAAGGAUGGGUAAUACCAGAUGAUAUAUCUUUAUCGCAUGAUAGAGAUCUCAAAGGUCCGCCGGUCUGGGAGCAGGCGAUUUUGUAUCAGCUAGUUGGUGAGGUAACGGCUCACCAAGGCGACGACGCAUAGCCGGACUGAGAGGUUGGCCGGCCUCAUUGGGACUGAGACACUGCCCAGACUCCUACGGGGGGCUGCAGUAACGAAUCUUCCGCAAUGCACGAAAGUGUGACGGAGCGACGCCGCGUGUGGGACGAAGUCCUUCGGGAUGUAAACCACUGUCAGGGGUUACCAAGUUCUGAGGAGCCCAGAGGAAGGGACGGCUAACUCUGUGCCAGCAGCCGCGGU